rnacentral:lncRNA from 1 species
UCAGGGACACCUGAUUGACUUCAAAGUGCCUGCUCAUGCCUGGACUAGGAGUUGUUUUCUGAGGAACAUGUUUCUGGUUUUGUUCUUUGGGAACAGUGUCCACUCUUGAGAGAUGGUGGGGUGCUCUCAGGAAGGAGAUGCAUCUCCAAGGCUGACAGGGAUCAUGCAAAAGGCCUGGAAUUCCAAUAAAAAGCAGAAGUGAUUGCACAGAAGCCAAAACCAGAGAUACAAUCAAUAAGAUACUACAGCUAGCUGCUUGUAUCGAAGAAGUCUGCAGCAAAAUAAAUAAUUUCAGUUCUUUGCUUCUGGCCAGUUUGUGGAAACAGCAGCAGGAGGGCUGUAUUGCCCUCAAAGGUCUGGCUGGUCUUGAUGGGGGCCUGAUCCCUGCUAGAGAAAAGGACAUUGUAUAGUGAAAUUCCCUCUGCUGCACACAGAGGUGACAAAGGUAACACUUAAUUAUCUUUCUUCUCAUCUAUUGACACUAG